GGGUCUGUGGUCUAGUUGGUCAUGACGCGGCCUUUACAAGGCUGAGGUCGGCGGUUCGAACCCGCCCGGACCCA
rnacentral:tRNA from 1 species